rnacentral:rRNA from 1 species
AUUGAACGCUGGCGGCAGGCUUAACACAUGCAAGUCGAGCGAGCGGCGGACGGGUGAGUAAUGUCUGGGAAACUGCCUGAUGGAGGGGGAUAACUACUGGAAACGGUAGCUAAUACCGCAUACCAUCAGACGUGCCCAGAUGGGACUAGCUAGUAGGUGGGGUAAUGGCUCACCUAGGCGACGAUCCCUAGCUGGUCUGAGAGGAUGACGAGCCACGCUGGAACUGGGACACGGUCCGUACUCCUACGGGGGGCAGCGGUGGGGAAUAUUGCACAAUGGGCGCAGGCCUGAGACAGCCAUGCCGCGUGUGUGAAGAAGGCCUUCGGGUUUUAAAGCACUUUCAGCUAGGAGGCGUUACUCGCAGAAGAAGCACCGGCUAACUCCGUGCCAGCAGCCGCGGUAAUAC